GAUGGCACAUUUGGGUCAUGAGACCCACCACUUCUGAGAUUUCACACUACUUUGGCAGUCAAGCCAAAGACAUGCUAAAUGUGAUCUUCUCCUCUAAUGUAUGCUACAGGGAGAUCAUCAAGUUAUAGUGUGUCCUGGGUGUUGGCAAAUACACUGCUCAUGAGGAAAGCUCCUCAGAAUGGGUAUUGUGUUUUCAUUUUUCACCCAGCAAGAGCAACUUCAUCAUUAUUAACUACAGCUGAAAUUGGCUUAUCAAGACCUAGAAGCUGACCAUCUACUAACUGAGAAAACCUCAUUGAUCACACAGCUGACUGAUGGUAACAUACAGCUUCUGGAGAUAAGGAUAGACAGGACAUUCAAUGGUCUUCAGCAUGGACAAGUACUUUCAUGCCGUGGGGAUGUUUUCAAUGCUUCUUUUGAAUGCCUCUGCUCUAACCCUAGUUGCUCCUAUCUUUAUGGAUCAUGUGGUCAAUAGUGAGAUAUGGAAUUUUAAAGGAAAGAUUAUGAUAGGUAAGUUGAAAGGAGAAAACAAACAGCAUCUGCGACACAAGCUAGUUGUGAACAUACCUGACCAGGUUUUCUGUUGGCCAGACUCUGCUUGUGGCUACACAGGAAACCUG
rnacentral:lncRNA from 1 species